rnacentral:rRNA from 1 species
GAUGAACGCUGGCGGCGUGCCUAAUACAUGCAAGUCGAGCGAACAGACGAGGAGCUUGCUCCUCUGACGUUAGCGGCGGACGGGUGAGUAACACGUGGAUAACCUACCUAUAAGACUGGGAUAACUUCGGGAAACCGGAGCUAAUACCGGAUAAUAUAUUGAACCGCAUGGUUCAAUAGUGAAAGACGGUUUUGCUGUCACUUAUAGAUGGAUCCGCGCUGCAUUAGCUAGUUGGUAAGGUAACGGCUUACCAAGGCAACGAUGCGUAGCCGACCUGAGAGGGUGAUCGGCCACACUGGAACUGAGACACGGUCCAGACUCCGACGGGAGGCAGCAGUAGGGAAUCUUCCGCAAUGGGCGAAAGCCUGAUGGAGCAACGCCGCGUGAGUGAUGAAGGUCUUCGGAUCGUAAAACUCUGUUAUUAGGGAAGAACAAAUGUGUAAGUAACUAUGCACGUCUUGACGGUACCUAAUCAGAAAGCCACGGCUAACUACGUG